GGAUAGCUCAGUUGGUUAGAGCAUGGUGCUGAUAACACCAAGGCUGCAGGUUCAAUCCCUUUUUGGGACA